rnacentral:rRNA from 1 species
UACGGGGGGGGCAAGCGUUGUUCGGAAUUACUGGGCGUAAAGGGCUCGUAGGCGGCCAACUAAGUCAGACGUGAAAUCCCUCGGCUUAACCGGGGAAUGGCGAUGGAGACUGCAAGGCUAGAGUUUGGCAGAGGGGGGUAGAAUUUCACGUGUAGCAGUGAAAUGCGUAGAGAUGUGGAGGAACACCGAUGGCGAAGGCAGCCCCCUGGGUCAAAACUGACGCUCAUGCACGAAAGCGUGGGGAGCAAACAGG